rnacentral:lncRNA from 1 species
CAAGAAUAGUUUUUCAUUAAUUUUUUGACAAAAUACACGCAUUCAUAAUCUGAUUUCUUGCAAACUAUUUGUGCAUAACACUUUUUUUUUAUAGUUUACAUCAUCUUUAUUUCCUUCAUUAUUAGUUUUUCUUAAAACCAAUAUGUGUCUUUUAUUUUAACUGAGAAUUGAAGUGUGUGUCUGGUCUUUGUGGAUUUGAUCACGUACUUCUACUGUGCACUUACAGUUAGUUUAUUGGAAUAAAUUGAAUGAACAUAUAUGUUGAGAAGAUGUUUUUUUAAUAAU